rnacentral:rRNA from 1 species
CCGGAGAAUGUUAUCACGGGAGACACACGGCGGGUGCUAACGUCCGUCGUGAAGAGGGAAACAACCCAGACCGCCAGCUAAGGUCCCAAAGUCAUGGUUAAGUGGGAAACGAUGUGGGAAGGCCCAGACAGCCAGGAUGUUGGCUUAGAAGCAGCCAUCAUUUAAAGAAAGCGUAAUAGCUCACUGGUCGAGUCGGCCUGCGCGGAAGAUGUAACGGGGCUAAACCAUGCACCGAAGCUGCGGCAGCGACGCUUAUGCGUUGUUGGGUAGGGGAGCGUUCUGUAAGCCUGCGAAGGUGUGCUGUGAGGCAUGCUGGAGGUAUCAGAAGUGCGAAUGCUGACAUAAGUAACGAUAAAGCGGGUGAAAAGCCCGCUCGCCGGAAGACCAAGGGUUCCUGUCCAACGUUAAUCGGGGCAGGGUGAGUCGACCCCUAAGGCGAGGCCGAAAGGCGUAGUCGAUGGGAAACAGGUUAAUAUUCCUGUACUUGGUGUUACUGCGAAGGGGGGACGGAGAAGGCUAUGUUGGCCGGGCGACGGUUGUCCCGGUUUAAGCGUGUAGGCUGGUUUUCCAGGCAAAUCCGGAAAAUCAAGGCUGAGGCGUGAUGACGAGGCACUACGGUGCUGAAGCAACAAAUGCCCUGCUUCCAGGAAAAGCCUCUAAGCAUCAGGUAACAUCAAAUCGUACCCCAAACCGACACAGGUGGUCAGGUAGAGAAUACCAAGGCGCUUGAGAGAACUCGGGUGAAGGAACUAGGCAAAAUGGUGCCGUAACUUCGGGAGAAGGCACGCUGAUAUGUAGGUGAAGUCCCUUGCGGAUGGAGCUGAAAUCAGUCGAAGAUACCAGCUGGCUGCAACUGUUUAUUAAAAACACAGCACUGUGCAAACACGAAAGUGGACGUAUACGGUGUGACGCCUGCCCGGUGCCGGAAGGUUAAUUGAUGGGGUCAGCGCAAGCGAAGCUCUUGAUCGAAGCCCCGGUAAACGGCGGCCGUAACUAUAACGGUCCUAAGGUAGCGAAAUUCCUUGUCGGGUAAGUUCCGACCUGCACGAAUGGCGUAAUGAUGGCCAGGCUGUCUCCACCCGAGACUCAGUGAAAUUGAACUCGCUGUGAAGAUGCAGUGUACCCGCGGCAAGACGGAAAGACCCCGUGAACCUUUACUAUAGCUUGACACUGAACAUUGAGCCUUGAUGUGUAGGAUAGGUGGGAGGCUUUGAAGUGUGGACGCCAGUCUGCAUGGAGCCGGCCUUGAAAUACCACCCUUUAAUGUUUGAUGUUCUAACGUGGACCCGUGAUCCGGGUUGCGGACAGUGUCUGGUGGGUAGUUUGACUGGGGCGGUCUCCUCCUAAAGAGUAACGGAGGAGCACGAAGGUUGGCUAAUCCUGGUCGGACAUCAGGAGGUUAGUGCAAUGGCAUAAGCCAGCUUGACUGCGAGCGUGACGGCGCGAGCAGGUGCGAAAGCAGGUCAUAGUGAUCCGGUGGUUCUGAAUGGAAGGGCCAUCGCUCAACGGAUAAAAGGUACUCCGGGGAUAACAGGCUGAUACCGCCCAAGAGUUCAUAUCGACGGCGGUGUUUGGCACCUCGAUGUCGGCUCAUCACAUCCUGGGGCUGAAGUAGGUCCCAAGGGUAUGGCUGUUCGCCAUUUAAAGUGGUACGCGAGCUGGGUUUAGAACGUCGUGAGACAGUUCGGUCCCUAU